UGGGGAAUAUUGCACAAUGGGCGAAAGCCUGAUGCAGCGACGCCGCGUGGGGGAUGACGGCCUUCGGGUUGUAAACCUCUUUCAGCAAGGAAGAAGCGAAAGUGACGGUACUUGCAGAAGAAGCGCCGGCUAACUACGUGCCAGCAGCCGCGGUAAUACGUAGGGCGCAAGCGUUGUCCGGAAUUAUUGGGCGUAAAGGGCUUGUAGGUGGCUUGUCGCGUCUGCCGUGAAAACUCGAGGCUUAACCUUGGGCGUGCGGUGGGUACGGGCAGGCUAGAGUGCGGUAGGGGAGACUGGAAUUCCUGGUGUAGCAGUGAAAUGCGCAGAUAUCAGGAGGAACACCGAUGGCGAAGGCAGGUCUCUGGGCCGUUACUGACACUGAGAAGCGAAAGCAUGGGGAGCGAACAGG
rnacentral:rRNA from 1 species